UACGGAGGAUGCAAGCGUUAUCCGGAUUUAUUGGGUUUAAAGGGUGCGCAGGUUGUUUGAUAAGUCAGUGGUGAAAGUCUGUCGCUUAACGGUAGGAUUGCCAUUGAUACUGUUAGACUUGAAUAUGGAUGAGGUAGGCGGAAUGUGUAGUGUAGCGGUGAAAUGCAUAGAUAUUACGCAGAACACCGAUUGCGAAGGCAGCUUACUAAUCCAUCAUUGACGCUGAGGCACGAAAGCGUGGGGAUCAAACAGGA
rnacentral:rRNA from 1 species